GGUUUGGCGCGCGACAAUAACUUACUUGAGUACUUUGUUUUUUUCUCUGUUUAUCUAACACGCUAACAUGAGUUUCUUUUUCCAUUAACAUCUUCUUAUAGUAUACCAUGACAUCACAUUUCUAACAUUGUCUUCAUUCAUCUUUUGUUCUUUUCCUCUCACAAACCAAACGUUUUUUUUCUCUCUUUCUGUUGUUGUGAUGAUGGUAGGAGUUUCAAGUAGAACUCGCAGCAAGAACGUUCCUCUCUAUGGUAGUCUUUCCCUUCAUGGAUCAUCAAAGCGGAGAAAGAGCAAGGAAGACGAUACGUGUUUUGCUGCUUCUUGUUCUAAACAAAGAAAGGCAAAGAAAGAACCAUUUGUGUUGCCUCCAGAUGCUAAAGUUAUUUACAUUGAUGAUGAAAAUGGAGAUGAUGCCGUAGAGAAAAAGUCCGAGUCUUGUGCUGCGGAUAUUAAAGAAGAAGUGGAAAAUGGGGAGUUUGUUGAUGAAAAGCCGUCUGUUGUAUGUUUAGAUGAAUCAGGUGAAAGCUAUGAAGAAGAUUCAGAUUGUGAUGAAAGUGAAGAAAAUGAGUCAAGUGAUGAAGAUUUUAGCAUAAAUGAAGUGAAUGAGGUUUCUGAGAGUGAUGAAGAUGGUGGUUCAUCUUGCUCUUCUUAUGUGGAUGAGGCUAAGAGAAACAGUUCACGGAAAUACCUAGAAGUGGUGGCGGAGAUGGUGAGAAAGGUAAAGGAUGAUGAAAAUAGUGACAUUCCAAAGAAAAAGAUUAAGAGUAGUGAUGAUGAAAAAAGUGAAAUUCCAAAGAGGAUGAAGAUUAAGAGUAGUGAUGAUGAAAACAGCGAAAUUUCAAACAAGAAAAAGAUUAAGAGUAGUGUAAAAACAACUACUGGUGUUUUAGAGAAGAAGGGUGUUUUUCAUCCAAUGGAGGGUUGUUGUUCUUCCUCUAAACUGGAUAUAGCAUCAGAGACAAAAAAGGAAAAAAAUGUCUCUGAUGUUAAUGUGUUAAAAUCCAAAGGCAAAGGUAGAGUUAAGCAUGAUGAAAGUGUGAAUCUCGGUGAUUCUGAAGAAGGAAAAGAACAAAAAGUUAGAGGUUUAGGGGAUGGGGAAGGAAGAGUUUCUAUGAAUCAAACAGAAGAGAAAGUGAUCAAGAACAAAGGAAGAGAUUAUAAAGAUAAAGCCAGCGUCCAAAAUGACAAGAAAAAGGCAACAGUUGCUAACAAAGGUUUGAAUCAGAGGGGCAAAAACACGCUUUUUAUGGCGAAGGAAUUGCGUUUAUUCGAACUCCUUGCUGAAUUCUACUUUGGCAACAAAAGUAAUACAGUCAAGAAUGACUCAACUCCGAAUGAUGGUGUUAGUCGUUCAGAAACACGGCCACCAACAGCUUCUGUGGAGACACCUCCAUUGAUAUGGAGCCUUAAAAAGAGGGAAGUAGUGCAGAAGACGAAGGAGGAGGAGGAGCUGGCUAAGUUAUGGGAUGAAAUGGAGAGAUCGCUGAGAGAAAUGGAAGCCGAAUCCAUGAUUGGGAAAUAUGAAACUAGUCAUAAGAAUAUAAGAAAUCCAUCCAUUAGCUGCGAGCACGACCUUCGUCUCAACGAGGAGAUUGGUGUAUGCUGCAGAUUAUGCCACUGGGUCAAAACCGAGAUCAAACAUGUCUCCGAACCAGUAGUGGAUAAAUUUCCCAAUGAAGUUUCUAGAAAAAGUGCUCCAUUUGAUGAUGUAAAUGUCUCGCACUUUGAUGGAUCUCAGUUCAAACUUUCUGAUAAUGAUUCAAAGUCCAAUUUCCUUCACAGUGAAGGCAUUGUUUGGGACCUGAUACCUGAUGUGAAGCAUACCUUGUAUCCUCACCAACAAGAAGGCUUUGAAUUCAUCUGGAAAAACUUGGCAGGAAGCAUCGAUCUUCACAAGUUAAAGAACGCAGAUCCUCAACGCGAGGGUGGCUGCAUUAUCUCGCACGCUCCUGGAACUGGAAAGACUAGAUUGACCAUAGUCUUUCUCGGAGCUUAUCUGAAAGUUUUCCCGAAAUGCUUGCCUGUUAUAGUUGCUCCAGCGAGUUUAUUGCUUACUUGGGAGGAGGAGUUCAAAAAAUGGGACAUUGGAGUUCCAUUUCAUAAUUUGAGCAAUCUUGAGUUAUCAGGUAAAGAGCAUGGUGAUGCCCUUCAUUUGCUUAGUCGGUCUAAUAGUGCGGAUACAACGCGGAUGGCAAAACUGAUUUCGUGGAACAAAGAAAGGAGCGUUUUAGGAAUCAGUUACAAUUUGUACGAGAAGUUAGCCGGAGGAGGAGGAUCUUAUGACGAGAAAAAUAAAAAACAAGAAAUUAUGGGAAAUGUUUUACGUGAGAAACCGGGUGUGCUCGUGCUAGAUGAAGGACACACUCCGAGAAAUAAGACAAGUGGUAUUUGGAAGGUGUUGUCGAAGAGUCAAACAAAGAAACGGAUUAUACUUUCGGGAACUCCUUUCCAGAACAAUUUCUUGGAACUUUAUAACAUUUUGACCUUAGUGAAGCCUUCUUUUGUGUUACCAGAUGAGCUAAAAAAGUUUUGCCAGAAGCCGGAACAGAAAAAAGCAACGAAAGAAUGGAGUUGGCAACCGGAUUCAGGUUCUGAUGAUAAGAUCAAGCAGUUGAAAUUGCUUAUGGAUCCCUUAGUUCAUGUACACAAAGGUGCGAUCCUUCAAAAGAAGCUUCCCGGGAUAAGGAAUCGCGUGCUGAGAUUGAAACCCGACAGUUUACAGAAGCAAACUAUUGACAGCAUACAAAGUUCUCAGAAAACAUUCAUCUUUGAGCAUAAGCUGACAAUGGCAUCCAUCCAUCCAUCGCUUUUUCUCGAAUGCGAUCUUUUAAAAAAGGAGGAAUCUGUUGUCGACAAGGACCUGCUAGAAAAGGUCAGAUUGGACCCCAACAAAGGCGUCAAAACAAAGUUUUUGGUUGAGUUUGUUAGACUAUGUGAUGCUGCAAGUGAGAAAGUUCUUGUGUUCAGCCAAUUCAUCAAACCAUUGCGCUUAAUUAUAGACCAAUUAAGCUUGGCUUGUAAUUGGACAGAAGGGAAGGAAAUGCUGUUCAUGGAUGGAGAAGUUGAUCUUAAAGGAAAGCAAUCUCUUAUCCAUAACUUCAAUGAUGCAAAAUGUCAAGCUAAGAUUCUUCUUGCAUCGGUUAAAGCUAAUUCCGAGGGAAUUAGCUUAGUCGGAGCUUCCAGAGUUGUGCUACUGGAUGUUGUAUGGAAUCCGUCUGUCAAACGACAGGCUAUCAGCAGAGCGUAUCGGAUUGGACAGAAGAGGGUUGUAUACACUUACCAUCUGCUAAUUGACGGGACUACCGAGUGCGUGAAACAUUGUAAGCAGGCCGAAAAGGACCGGUUAUCUGAACUUGUUUUUCAAGGUAAGAAUAAUGAUAAUGAUGAGUUGGAGAAGAGUGGUGUGGAGUUUGAAGACAGUAUUCUUGAGAAAAUGAUACAUCACAGAGAGCUCAAAGGCAUGUUUGUUGAGUGAGAAAGUUCAGCCAACGGAGCAAUAUUUGUGACAGAUGGACAAACUUAUGCCACCUCAGGAAAUUGUGUUUAUAAAAAUGUCUUUUCCAUUCCAUCCUCGUCUCAGACUCGUCUUCUCCAUAGGUUAAUGCAACUCAUCUUCUCCAUAGUAUACUACAAUUUGUCAUUUUCAAUCUCUUCUCCGAGUUGUUUUAAUUUGAAAUUAGGGUUUGAAAUGGGUGGUAGCAUAAAUUCUUCUAUCAGGAAUCCUAAUUGGAGAGAAAUACCCCGAUGUGGUUCAAUCUAUCAAUGAAGAUGUGGAUUUCAAACACCCACGAAAGCCCUAAGAGAAAGUUCUAGAAAUGCAAUUUUUUUUGGAAAGAGUGAUAUAAGUUAUGAGUUGUUCAUUUGGGAUGAUGAAGUUGACGAAUUGUUAUUGAACACUCGGAAUAAGGAAAGGUUCACAGGUGCAGAUAUUGAGUGUAACAAUUAUGAAGUAAUACUUGGUUAUCUGAAAGAAUUUGGCAACGAUUUUGGGAAACAUUUUGGCAAAGAAUAUGGGAAAGAUUCAAGCUCAAAGAAGGUUGGGAAAUUGAAGAAGCUGCUGUAAAUUGAAAGGAAAAAGACUUUUUACCAAUGGUUACCCUUAUUGUAUCAUGGAUAUUGUUAGCUAUUGUGUUCAAAAUGAAUUAACUAUCAAUGUAAUGUUCAACUUUGUUUCAAUGUAAUCUUGUUGGCUUGUUGUUGGUUUCAAUGUAAUGUUCUAAUGUUCAAGUUUGUAUCAUGGAUGUUGUUAGAUAUUGUGUUCAAAAUGAAUCUUAACUGUCAA